ACCCGUUGAUCCUGCGGGAGGUCGCUGCUAUCAGAAUUCGACUUAACUAAGCUAGUUCAGGGGCUCCUUCGGGAGCACCGGCAAACAGUUCCGUGACACGUCGAUAAUCUACCCUCAGAUCUGGGAUAACCUUGGGAAACUGAGGCUAAAACCGGAUAGGGGAUUACUACUGGAAUGUUUUUUCCCUUAAAAGUAAUGUCUGAGGAUGAGUCGGCGCCCGAUUAGAUUGUUGGUGGGGUAAUGGCCCACCAAGUCGAAGAUCGGUAGGGGCCUUGAGAGAGGUAGCCCCGAGGAGGACACUGAGAUAAGGGUCCUGACUCUACGGAGUAUAGCAAGUGCGAAACCUUUACACUGCACGAAAGUGUGAUAAGGGGAUUCUGAGUGCUUAUGCUUUGCAUAGGCUUUUAUCAAGUGUAAAAAGCUUGGAGAAUAAGUGGUGGGCAAGACUGGUGCCAGCAGCCGCGGUAACACCAGCGCCACAAGUGGGGACCAGCAUUAUUGGGCUUAAAGCGUUCGUAGUCGGUUUAGUAAAUCCUAUGUGAAAUUGUCUGGCUCAACCAGACAACGUGCAAAGGACACUGCUAGACUUGGGACCGGGAGGUGUCAGAAGUAUUCUUAGGGUAGCGGUAAAAUGCUAUAAUCCUAGGAGGACUACCAGUAGCGAAGGCGUCUGACAAGAACGGGUCCGACGAUGAGGAACGAAAGCCAGGGGAGCGAACCGGAUUAGAUACCCGAGUAGUCCUGGCAGUAAGCGCUGCGAGCUAGGUGUUGCAUAUUCUUCGUGAAUAUGCAGUGUCGAAGCGAAAGUGAUAAGCUCGCCGCCUGGGAAGUACGGUCGCAAGACUGAAACUUAAAGGAAUUGGCGGGGGAGCACAACAAGGGGUGCGGCGUGCGGUUUAAUCCAACUCAACGCGGAGAAUCUCACCAGAGGCGACGGCAGGAUGAAGGUCAGCCUGAAGGGCUUACUUGACGAGCCGAGAGGUGGUGCAUGGCCGUCGUCAGCUCGUGCCGUGAGGUGUCCUGUUAAGUCAGGCAACGAGCGAGACCUGUACUCACAAUUGCCAGCGACAAAUUUUUGGAUCGGGCACAUUGUGGGGACUGCCUUGGAAACAAGGAGGAAGGUGCAGGCAACGGUAGGUCUGUAUGCCCCGAAUCCUCUGGGCUACACGCGCGCAACAAUGAUAAGGACAAAGGGAUGCAACUCCGAAAGGAGAAGCUAAUCCUCCAAACCUUAUCUUAGUACAGAUCGAGGAUUGUAACUCAUCCUCGUGACGAUGGAAUCCCUAGUAAUCAGAUUUUAUCAUAAUCUGGUGAAUAUGUCCCUGCUCCUUGCACACACCGCCCGUCAAACCAACCGAGCAGGGUUUAGGUGAACCCAGCCUUAUGGGCUGGUUGAAUCUGAGCUCAGUGAGGUGGGUUAAGUCGUCACAAGGUA
rnacentral:rRNA from 1 species